rnacentral:lncRNA from 1 species
AGCGACCACACCAUGUUGAUUCAGUAGUGCGUAGUUGGGUAUAAGGCAAGCUUAUUGACUUCACUAUAUUUGAAGAGAAUACUUUUCCGCUCAGUGCCGUGCAUUAUAACGCUGAUGACACACAGAAGUAGCACGAAAGCGAUUCCGAUGGCAGCAAACACACAAGGGACUGGAGGGACGUGUACAGAACACAUAUCGAAAAUAUUUGUGGAAAUAGUGGGGAAGUGUGAACACAACUAAAAGCUGUUCGGUAAAAAGGGGAAAGGUUGAACACGUAGCAAAGAGAGUUUCAGAGCAUAUCGGAGCACAUGCCGCAUAAUCCAUUUAUAUAAGUGCAGGUAACAACCAGACGGGUAAACACAGAGGAUGAGCAGUAUAUUUAUAAUUCCAAGUACCAAUAAUUCUUGCGACCGUACAAAAUUAUUAUGGACGCGAACAGCUUACAAACAACUGGAAAUAGUAAGUUGCAACAAUGCUUGUCGCCUAUACGCAAAAGAAAUGAAGAACAUGGACUAACAUAAAUAGAAAAGCGCAUGUACGCACAUCUUUUGGUAACAAAGCACAGUUUCGCCGACGAAACUUUAAACUAGCAAAUGAAGGAAGAAUGUGGCGAUUUAUGACUUCUUAGGGUGCUCACGUACAAAGCAUAGCAACAACUUAAUAAUAUGUACACCACAAUUUAGUUAAGAUACAAAGUACGGAAGGUAUGAUCGAAAACAAAUAACAAAAAAUUAUAUUGUAUACAAUAUACAUAUUAGCAAAUAGUGAAUAAGCAAUUCUAUUUUAAGAUAUAUUAUAUAUAUUGCAUUGAUACGAUUUAUUUAGGAAUAGGCUUUUUUCUGGAUAGUUCAUAAAUAUAUUAUAAUAGAAAUGGAAAAAUUAAUGAUUCCAAAAUAAAUAGAGUGUUGUUUUUAAA